rnacentral:rRNA from 1 species
UACGGAGGGGGCUAGCGUUGUUCGGAAUUACUGGGCGUAAAGCGCGCGUAGGCGGAUCUGCAAGUCGGGGGUGAAAUCCCGAGGCUCAACCUCGGAACUGCCUUCGAUACUGCGGGUCUCGAGUCCGGGAGAGGUGAGUGGAAUUCCUAGUGUAGAGGUGAAAUUCGUAGAUAUUAGGAAGAACACCAGUGGCGAAGGCGGCUCACUGGCCCGGUACUGACGCUG